AAGAUGUCUGUCUUCUGUAUAUACCCUGUAGAUCCGAAUUUGUGUAAGGAAUUUUGUGGUCACAAAUUCGUAUCUAGGGGAAUAUGUAGUUGACAUAAACACUCCGCUCA
ensembl:miRNA microRNA 10a